rnacentral:rRNA from 1 species
CCUACGGGAGGCUGCAGUGAGGAAUAUUGGUCAAUGGACGAGAGUCUGAACCAGCCAAGUAGCGUGAAGGAUGACUGCCCUAUGGGUUGUAAACUUCUUUUAUAUGGGAAUAAAAUGUUCCACGUGUGGGAUUUUGUAUGUACCAUAUGAAUAAGGAUCGGCUAACUCCGUGCCAGCAGCCGCGGUAAUACGGAGGGUCCGAGCGUUAUCCGGAUUUUUUGGGUUUAAAGGGAGCGUAGGUGGGUUGUUAAGUCAGUUGUGAAAGUUUGGGGCUCAACCGUAAAAUUGCAGUUGAAACUGGCAGUCUUGAGUACAGUAGAGGUGGGCGGAAUGCGUGGUGUAGCGGUGAAAUGCUUAGAUAUCACGAAGAACUCCGAUUGCGAAGGCAGCUCACUGGACUGCAACUGACACUGAGGCUCGAAAGUGUGGGUAUCAAACAGGAUGAGAUACCCGAGUAGUC